AACAUUUAAACGUGGAUUCCCUCCCUCUGUUCAAGUCCCCCUCAGCUCUCACCUCCGUCGUGCCGGAAGUCACCUCCGGCGACUGUGGAGCCUCAACGCCCUCACCACAUACACCAUUUCCUUCAUCUUUUUAACCUGACUCCGAAAAUCACCAUAACAGAACCUAGUUCCUCCUCCCUAGUCUGAAUCGAAGCCAUGAGUUGAAGAACCCUAAACCUCAAAGCUAAAAUAAAAUCCUACACUCUUGGAAUCAAAUCCCUAGAGGUUAAGGCUUUGAUUCCCCUAACCGAACCUCACAUUAUGAUAUCAAGAAAUGAGAAAAAUGAAGGGAGAAACAUUUACCUAUGAAAUUCUUCGGCUACGGUUGUGACGAUGAUGAUGAAGGCAAAUCUGGUAUGGUGGGCAAGAUUGCAAGUCAUCAUUCAAGGUAAGAAAGGAAAGUUCAAGUCAUGAUGCACAAUUUGGCAAAAUUUGAUCAAUGGAUGAAGUGGUGGCCAUGGAAGAUCCAUAAAUUAUACAAUGAUGAAGAUGUGAUUAGUAUUAAGAUUCUAGGAUGAAAAUGUGAUGGUUGACUUUGGUCAACUAGUUGACCAAAAAGUCAACAGUUGACCAAAAAUCAACUUUUGUAAAAUAUGAAAAAAUUUUAUAUUUCUUUUAUAAUGAACAUGUAUUCUUUGAUAAA